GAUGAACGCUGGCGGCGUGCCUAAUACAUGCAAGUCGAGCGAACGGACGAGAAGCUUGCUUCUCUGAUGUUAGCGGCGGACGGGUGAGUAACACGUGGAUAACCUACCUAUAAGACUGGGAUAACUUCGGGAAACCGGAGCUAAUACCGGAUGAUAUUUUGAACCGCAUGGUUCAAAAGUGAAAGACGGUCUUGCUGUCACUUAUAGAUGGAUCCGCGCUGCAUUAGCUAGUUGGUAAGGUAACGGCUUACCAAGGCAACGAUGCAUAGCCGACCUGAGAGGGUGAUCGGCCACACGGGAACGGAGACACGGUCCAGACUCCUACGGGAGGCAGCAGUAGGGAAUCUUCCGCAAUGGGCGAAAGCCUGACGGAGCAACGCCGCGUGAGUGAUGAAGGUCUUCGGAUCGUAAAACUCUGUUAUUAGGGAAGAACAUAUGUGUAAGUAACUGUGCACAACUUGACGGUACCUAAUCAGAAAGCCACGGCUAACUACGUG
rnacentral:rRNA from 1 species